UACGAGGGGUGCAAGCGUUAUUCGGAUUUACUGGGCGUAAAGAGUGUGUAGACGGCUUAUCAAGUCUGUUGUUAAAUUCCUCGGCUUAACCGAGGCUCAGCAGUAGAAACUGAUAGGCUAGAGUGUGGGAGAGAGAAGUGGAAUUCCCGGAGUAGCGGUAAAAUGCGUAGAUCUCGGGAGGAACACCGAUGGCGAAGGCAGCUUCUUGGUCCAUUACUGACGUUGAGACACGAAAGCGUGGGGAGCAAACAGG
rnacentral:rRNA from 1 species